CGCAUCUGUGCAUGCAGCAUAUCAAUAAGCGGAGGAAAAGAAACUAACAAGGAUUCCCUUAGUAACGGCGAGUGAAGCGGGAAGAGCUCAAAUUUGAAAUCUUCAAGGUUUUACCUUGACGAAUUGUAGUUUAAAGAAGUGUUUUCUGCUGAAGUUUUGGUAAAAGUUCUUUGGAAUAGGACAUCAUAGAGGGUGAGAAUCCCGUAUUUGACCUUCACUUUCAACUUUGUGAUACACUUUCAAAGAGUCGGAUUGCUUGGGAAUGCGGUCCAAAAUGGGUGGUAAAUUUCAUCUAAAGCUAAAUAUUGGCGAGAGACCGAUAGCGAACAAGUACCGUGAGGGAAAGAUGAAAAGAACUUUGAAAAGAGAGUUAAACAGUACGUGAAAUUGUCAAAAGGGAAGCGUUUGACACCAGUGUUGUUUAUCUGAAAAUCGAUUAAAGAACUGUUUAUGCUAAGUUGUUUAGACUUUAUCAGCUAACUGUUUAGUUUUGAGCUUUUCUUUAAUGCACUUUUCGUUUAACAAGUCAACAUCAGUUUCUUUUGCUGUAAAAAAGCUUGAGGAAGGUUGCUUGAGAUUCGUCUUAAGUGUUUAUAGCCUCUUGCCUAUGCAGUCGGAGAGAUUGAGGUCUGCAGCGUAGAUCCUUCGGGGCUAAAUGCAUUUGUGCUAAGUUAUAGCAUUUUAUAGACAACUUGUUGACUAUGAUUUGUCUUGUAGCUUACUCGCUUAUGCUAUUUUACCUACGCUUAGGAUGUUGAUAGUCACAGCGUGUAC
rnacentral:rRNA from 1 species